rnacentral:rRNA from 1 species
CACGUAGGGGGCAAGCGUUGUCCCGGAAUUAUUGGGCGUAAAGCGCGUGUAGGCGGCUUUGCAAGUCGGGUGUGAAAGCCCUCAGCUCAACUGAGGAAGUGCGCCCGAAACUGCAGAGCUUGAGUGCCGGAGAGGGUGGCGGAAUUCCCCAAGUAGAGGUGAAAUUCGUAGAUAUGGGGAGGAACACCGGUGGCGAAGGCGGCGAUCCUGGACCGGCAUGACGCUGAGGCGCGAAAGCCAGGGGAGCAAACGGGG